GUUUAAGCAAAGAAGGGCGCAUGGUGGAUGCCUUGGCACGGGAAGGCGAUGAAGGACGUGAUAAGCUGCGAUAAGCUACGGGAAGCUGCAAAUAAGUUUGGAUCCGUAGAUCUCCGAAUGGGGCAACCCGGCACUCGCGAGAGUGUCAUCCUUGGGCUGAAUACAUAGGCCCUUGGAAGCAAACCCGGGGAACUGAAACAUCUAAGUACCCGGAGGAAAAGAAAACAAUAGUGAUUCCCCAAGUAGUGGCGAGCGAACGGGGAACAGCCCAAACCGGUGUGGUCUCGGCUACACCGGGGUCGUAGGGCUUGCAAUAUGGAUCACGCGUCGAAGUGGAAGCUGUCUGGAAAGUGGCACCAUAGAAGGUGAAAGUCCUGUACGCGUAAGACAACUGAUCCUAGCGAUGUCCCUGAGUACCACGGGGUCGGAGAAGCCUUGUGGGAAGCUACCAGCACCAUCUGGUAAGGCUAAAUACUAACCCGUGACCGAUAGUGAACCAGUACCGUGAGGGAAAGGUGAAAAGAACGCCUAGUCGGCGAGUGAAAUAGUACCUGAAACCAUGCGCCUACAACCAGUCGGAGCCUGUAUGUCUGCACUCAUGUGCGGACAAAACGGGUGACGGCGUGCCUUUUGCAUAAUGAGCCUACGAGUUACACCUCACUGGCAAGGUUAAAUGCCUCAGGCAUGGAGCCGUAGCGAAAGCGAGUCUGAACAGGGCGUCAUAGUCAGUGGGGGUAGACGCGAAACCGAGUGAGCUACCUAUGGGCAGGGUGAAGCGUGGGUAAGACCACGUGGAGGCCCGAACCGCAGUACGUUGAAAAGUGCCCGGAUGACCUGUGGGUAGGGGUGAAAGGCCUAUCAAACUCGGAAAUAGCUCGUACUCCCCGAAAUGUAUUUAGGUACAGCGUCGCAAUAGUGUAUCGGAGGUAGAGCACUGAUUGGGCUAGGGCCCUUCACCGGGUACCAACCCCAGACAAACUCCGAAUGCCGAUACUACGUUUUGCGGCAGUGAGGGCAUGGGUGCCAAGGUCCAUGUCCGAGAGGGGAACAACCCAGACCGACAGCUAAGGUCCCCAAGUUCAGUCUAAGUUGAUCAAAGGAGGUCGGAUUGCUGAAACAACCAGGAUGUUGGCUUGGAAGCAGCCAUUCAUUUAAAGAGUGCGUAACAGCUCACUGGUCGAGCGAUCCGGCAUCGAAAAUUUGCGGGCAUCAAGACUGGCACCGAAGCUCCGGGUUUCCAUGGGAAGCGGUAGGGGAGCAUUCCAGCGACGGCGAAGCAGCUUCGUGAGACGCUGUGGAGUUUCUGGAAAAGAAAAUGUAGGCAUGAGUAACGAUAAGACAGGUGAGAAACCUGUCCGCCGUAAGCCUCAGGGUUCCUGUUCAACGUUAAUCGGAACAGGGUUAGUCGGGUCCUAAGCCGAGGCCGAAAGGCGUAGGCGAUGGGAAACGGGUCAAUAUUCCCGUACCACCAGAAAGCUAUAAUGUAAGGCGUGACGCAGAAGCGUAAGGUCCGCGCACAGACGGACGUGCGUUGAAGUGCGUAGGCUGGACGAGUAGGCAAAUCCGCUUGUCCGCUAAGGCUGAACCACGACAGUAGCGGGAGUCUCCGGACGAACGCAUAGAGGCCCCAAGCAUGCUGCCGAGAAAAGCGUCGUACAUUGCCCAAUGGUGCCCGUACCGUAAACCGACACAGGUAGGCGAGGAGAGCAUCCUCAGGCGCUCGAGUGAUCCGUGGCUAAGGAACUAGGCAAAAUUGCUCCGUAACUUCGGGAGAAGGAGCGCCUUCCCUUAUUAAAAGCGAGGGAAGGUCGCAGUGAAAAGACCCAAGCGACUGUUUAACAAAAACACAGCUCUCUGCUAAAUCGCAAGAUGAUGUAUAGGGAGUGACACCUGCCCGGUGCCGGAAGGUUAAGGAAGGGGGUUAGCUGCUUCGGCGGCGAAGCUCACGACUGAAGCCCCGGUAAACGGCGGCCGUAACUAUAACGGUCCUAAGGUAGCGAAAUUCCUUGUCGGGUAAGUUCCGACCUGCACGAAUGGUGCAACGACUUGGGUACUGUCUCGGCCACGGGCUCGGUGAAAUUGUGGUGCCGGUGAAGACGCCGGCUACCCGCGGUGGGACGGAAAGACCCCGUGCACCUUUACUGCAGCUUGAUAUUGACAUUGGUUAAAGUAUGUGUAGGAUAGGCGGGAGGCUUUGAAGCUAGGGCGCCAGCCUUGGUGGAGCCACCCUUGAAAUACCGCCCUUGUUUUAAUCGGUGCCUAACCCGCGACCGUGAAUCCGGUUGGGGGACAGUGUCAGGUGGGUAGUUUGACUGGGGCGGUCGCCUCCUAAAAUGUAACGGAGGCUCUCAAAGGUACCUUCAGCAUGGUCGGCAAUCAUGCGUAGAGUGCAAAGGCACAAGGGUGCUUGACUGCGAGACAUACAGGUCGAGCAGGUGCGAAAGCAGGACUUAGUGAUCCGGCGGUUCCUUAUGGAUGGGCCGUCGCUCAAAGGAUAAAAGGUACGCCGGGGAUAACAGGCUAAUCUCCCCCAAGAGUUCACAUCGACGGGGAGGUUUGGCACCUCGAUGUCGGCUCGUCGCAUCCUGGGGCUGAAGAAGGUCCCAAGGGUUGGGCUGUUCGCCCAUUAAAGCGGCACGCGAGCUGGGUUCAGAACGUCGUGAGACAGUUCGGUCCCUAUCUACCGUGGGCGUUGGAGACUUGAGCGGAUCUGCUCCUAGUACGAGAGGACCGGAGUGGACGAACCGCUAGUGUACCUGUUGUGGCGCCAGCUGCACCGCAGGGUAGCUAUGUUCGGCAGGGAUAAGCGCUGAAAGCAUCUAAGCACGAAGCCCACCGCAAGACUAGGUCUCCCUUAUGGGCCGUUCGAGACGAGGACGUUGAUAGGCGGCAGGUGUAAGCAUGGUAACAUGUUCAGCCGAGCCGUACUAAUUGCCCAUUAGGCUUUUUCCU
rnacentral:rRNA from 1 species